UCCUUGGAUCUAGUGGCGCACGGGUGAGUAACAUGUGGGAAUCUACCUGAAGGUUCGGAAUAACUGCGGGAAACUGUAGCUAAUACCGGAUGUGUCUGCAAAGAGAAAGAUUUAUCGCCUUCAGAUGAGCCCGCACUAGAUUAGCUAGUUGGUGAGGUAAUUGCUCCACCAAGGCUACGAUCUAUAGCUGAUUUGAGAGGAUGAUCAGCCACACUGGGACUGAGACACGGCCCAGACUCCUACGGGAGGCAGCAGUAGGGAAUAUUGGACAAUGGGGGAAACCCUGAUCCAGCAAUGCCGCGUGAGUGAAGAAGGCCUUCGGGUUGUAAAGCUCUUUCAUCAAUGAUGAUAAUGACAUUAGUUGAAGAAGAAGCCCCGGCUAACUUCGUGCCAGCAGCCGCGGUAAUACGAAGGGGGCUAGCGUUGUUCGGAAUCACUGGGCGUAAAGCGUAUGUAGGCGGAUCAAAAAGUUAGAUGUGAAAUCCCUGGGCUCAACCCAGGAACUGCACUUAAAACUAGUGAUCUAGAAUUUGGUAGGGGCCAGUAGAAUUUCCAGUGUAGAGGUGAAAUUCGUAGAUAUUGGAAAGAAUACCAGUGGCGAAGGCGACUGGCUGGGCCAUUUUUGACGCUGAGAUACGAAAGCGUGGGUAGCAAACAGGAUUAGAUACCCUGGUAGUCCACGCAGUAAACGAUGAGUGCUAGUCGCUGGGACAAUAGUUUCAGUGUCGAAGCUAACGCAUUAAGCACUCCGCCUGGGAAGUACGGUCGCAAGAUUAAAACUCAAAUAAAUUGACGGGGGCCCGCACAAGCGGUGGAGCAUGUGGUUUAAUUCGAAGCAACGCGAAGAACCUUACCAGACCUUGACAUGGUAUGUUUGAAUUACAGAAUCGUAAUUCUUCAGUUCGGCUGGCAUACACACAGGUGCUGCAUGGCUGUCGUCAGCUCGUGUCGUGAGAUGUUGGGUUAAGUCCCGCAACGAGCGCAACCCUCAUUUUUAGUUGCCAUCAGGUUAAGCUGGGCACUCU
rnacentral:rRNA from 1 species